rnacentral:lncRNA from 1 species
UCCCAAGUAGUUGGGACUACAGGCCCACACUACUAUACCCAGACCAACAGAUAUUCUAGCAUAUAAGAAAUGUGAUGCUCUCUGUACAUUGAAGAGUUGGUCUAAUAUUUGGCCUGGUGGAUACAGAAAUUGCCUGUCUGCUCCGCUCUGGUUGAAGAAACCAGUCCGACUGUCUCUGAGGCUAUGGAGCAGUCCAUCAAGAAUGAAAGCCCUCGGCUGGCACGUUGGCUCACACCUGUAAUACCAGCGCUUUGGGAGGCUGAGGCAGGUGGAUCACUUGAAGUCACGAAUUCGACACCAGCAUGGCCAACAUGGUGAAACCCUCUCUCUACAGAAAAUAGAAAAAUUAGCUGGGCCUAGUGACGUGUGCCUGUAAUCCCAGCUACUCAGGAGGCUGAGGCAGGAGAAUCACUUGAUCCUGGGAGGCAGAGCUUGCAGUGGGGAGCUGAGAUCACACCACUGCCUUCCAGCCUGGGCGACAGAGUGAGACUCUCUCAAAAAAAAAAAAAAAAAAAAAAAAAAGAAAGUCCUCAUGAUGGCCUCAAGCACAUUGGUCCCUGAAGAGAGUCAAGGAAGGCCCACUUUACUCUGCACUGCAAAGCAGGCAGGUGGACAGGAUGAGAAGUGGAUUCAGUGAGAGGCAUUGACUCAAAGGAUUUUCUGCCUAAUGGUCGGUUCAGCAGAAGAUUAAACUGAGCACAGCAUCCUGUUCCCUCAAACUAUCUGGUUGGAUCUCUCUCUCUCUGCCACCCAGGCCAGAGCGCAGUUGAUGCAGGUCAGGGGAGCCCCCCAGUGGAGCAUAGUGUGUCCAGAACUGGUGGGUUGUUGGUCUCACUGACUUCAAGAAUGAAGCCACGGACCCUCGG